UACGAAGGGGGCUAACGUUGCUCGGAAUCACUGGGCGUAAAGCGCACGUAGGCGGAUUGCUAAGUCAGGGGUGAAAUCCUGGAGCUCAACUCCAGAACUGCCUUUGAUACUGGCGGUCUCGAGUCCGGGAGAGGUGAGUGGAACUGCGAGUGUAGAGGUGAAAUUCGUAGAUAUUCGCAAGAACACCAGUGGCGAAGGCGGCUCACUGGCCCGGUACUGACGCUGAGGUGCGAAAGCGUGGGGAGCAAACAGG
rnacentral:rRNA from 1 species